rnacentral:rRNA from 1 species
UACAUGGGGGGCAAGCGUUGUUCGGAAUUACUGGGCGUAAAGGGCUCGUAGGUGGCCACUUAAGUCAGACGUGAAAUCCCUCAGCUUAACUGGGGAACUGCGUCUGAUACUGGGUGGCUUGAGUCCGGGAGAGGGAUGCAGAAUUCCAGGUGUAGCGGUGAAAUGCGUAGAUAUCUGGAGGAAUACCGGUGGCGAAGGCGGCAUCCUGGACCGGCAUUGACGCUGAGGAGCGAAAGCCAGGGGAGCAAACGGG